ensembl:snoRNA SNORA73 Small nucleolar RNA SNORA73 family
UCAAUGUGGACAGCCAUUGGGGGUCACUGAGUGGCUAUGUCCGUGUGCUGUAAAGGAGCACAGCGCUCCGGUGCAGUGGUGUAAAAUCCUGUCCCACGACAUUGGAGACCAAAUUCCCAGUCUUUGGACUGGUGAGGGCAUGGUCCUGCAUAUUUCUUAUCUUCUCAGUACCUAGUUGCUGAGGAGAAAAACCAUACGGGGCACAGUU